GGGCACCUGGGUGGCUCAGUUGGUUAAGCCACUGCCUUUAAGUCAGGUCACGAUCCGAGGGUCCUGGGAUCAAGGCCCGCA